UAUGGCUUUUCAUUAGAGCAAAGGCUGGAGAGGGCACUUAAAAUCUGCACUAUUACCUCUACAGCAGGCGCCAUGCUAAUAAUAAAAACUUGUCUCUGGGAUGAAAGUGACUGAGCUGAGGAACUGGUCGAGCAACAAUCACUGAACAUCUGUUGCAACAGACAGUGAGAGAGGUUGUUUCCUCCUGUGCUAUGCAAACCACAAGUGCUUUGAUCCAAGAUGUCUAAUGUAUCAGUUUUCUUUCAGGCCAGUGAACGAGCAGCUCAAUCACAAGUGACUGAGGCGAAGGCAAAAGUGUCAGACAAUAGAAAGAACAAGAGGAAUUUACAUCCUCAUGCAAAGUGUCCAACUGGACCACGACUUAAGAGCUGAGAACAAAGGGUUCCAGGUGCUGCUGGAAGGAACAUAAUAAACAAAGUGGGGCUCACUUUGCUACUGGUCUCAUCUCCUGUUUGUACUGAAAAAUUAUUUCUUAUUACAUCUUAUAUCUACAGUAUUGUAGCUACUGUAGGACUGGAUGUUGCAGCUGUGACUUGUUCAUUCGAUGAGUCUGUAUUUUAAACACAUCUGUUUUUAUUUGAUGCCUGCAUAUUAUUAGUGAAGCCAUGGAUUCUGAGUUUUAGGGAUCCUAAAACAGAGUCUAGAAAAACUCCAGAAAUGUAAUUUAAUGAAUUUAUAUUGUUGAUACUUCCUGGGUUAUUAGAAGACCAAGCAGGAGAGACAAAGUUGUCAGGUGUCAACUUCUUACUGCAUCUUGAUGUCCUCUUAUAUAUAUAUUUCAUAUGUCGCAUAUGACCAGCUUGUUUUGUCCCAAUCAGGUACAUUAGAAACUAGAUUUAUAUUGAAUGAUGCUGCAGUUUAUGACCUGUGCCUGUCUGGGACUUUGAGAGUAAGGGUGUGAUGGUUGUGUUGGUGGAUGGGUGUCCAUCUGAGUUCUGGUUUUGUAACAAACUGGGUGUUAAUAUUUUAAUGUUAAGCCAUAACCACAAUCAUUUCCUAACCUUAUCCUAAAUGUGCAGAUGUUACAGAAGGAAAGAAGUUUUUAAACAUUGGCAUUCAACAUUAAAAAACAUGAUCAUUGUACAGUAUCCAGCAUAUCUGAACACUCGGCAGUAAGAAUGCUUUUCUGCAGCUGGUUACAUGAAACCUUAAAAAACAAAUGCUGCUAUCACCAUUGAAACAAUAACAACUUGAAAGGCCACAGUUUAAAUCAGAAGGUUGCACAGAUUCAGCUGGAAACAAGCCAGUGCUCCAACAGUGUCCAGAUGAACCCUGAACCCACUGCUUUGUUCACUUCUCACUCACAUAAAGGAAAUAGACUAUAGUGAGAACUUGACCACCUGGACAACACAGGGAGCGUCUGAAGUACACCUGAAUACACUGUUCUGAGUCCACCGCACUUCCUUUGACUAUUAGCGCCUGUGUAUGCGCCCUGAACUGUGCUCGGCUGGUGCACUAAGCCUUGCAAGCUCCUCAGAGGCAAACACUAGUAACACUCAUAAGAAUAUCUUUGGAUUUGUUCGGUCUCUCUGUGCUUUGCCACAGGCUAAAGCAGCCCUGAAUGGGCCUGUACACUCUCUCUCUGACUUUGUUGGCAGUAGCGUGAGGAGAUUCCCCAAAUCCUGUACGAGCAGCAAGAUGCUGAGUAGACCCAUCACUUCAGGUGUCAUAAAUUCUUUGUUGGCCGAACUGAAAAGUGAAACUUAUGAAACUAAAACUUUACAGGCUGCAGUUAUGAAUUUAAAAAGACACAACAGUCACAAUAGUUUGUUUGGGCUGAGGCUCGACUAGUCAUACAUUCCUGUCAUCAUGACCUAUUCCGACCUUGCCAUUAGUGCUGCCACUGAUACUGAAAUCUUGGUUUCUGCUAGCACACUCUGUAAAUUUGGUUACAAAAUGGACAUAUUGUAACGUAGGGUUUUCGCCCUUUGAGUGACUCAAACUGUGUUAAAUGUGUUGAUUUGACACUCCAUUUCAGUUAUGCUCACAAUAAAGUGAGAUGCUCUAAGCAGAGGUUUUACAGUCUUUCUGCAAAGACAGACAUGCUUCUAAUCUCUAGUUCAAUGCUGAUGUGUUUUCUUUUUCACCUCUUUGAAAUUGAUGCAUGCAUUUUGUAUAUACAUCAUGUUGCAGAGACUCUCCCAAACCUCCACAUGAAUAAUCUCAAUGCUCAAGGCUAAUUAGCUUGUCUGAUUGUGAUAAAGUUGCUGUGUAGCUGUCUGUGACAGUAAUUGUUCCAACAGGCCUUGGUGUCAUCAAAUGCUGCCAGUUGUGGAGUCUGGGAGCGGUAAGCAAACCAAGGAAGCUCCCGAGGAGGAGCCCAGAGCCUUGUCUACAGUUGCAGAAACAGUGAAACACAGUUUCUAGUACUUAAUUAAAAAGCACAAUGAAUAACUCA